ACGAACGCUGGCGGCGUGCUUAACACAUGCAAGUCGAACGGAAAGGCCCUGCUCGCAGGGUGCUCGAGUGGCGAACGGGUGAGUAACACGUGGGUGAUCUGCCCCUUACUUUGGGAUAAGCCUGGGAAACUGGGUCUAAUACUGGAUAGGACCAUGCUGUAGGUGGUGUGGUGGAAAGAUUAGUUUCGGUAAGGGAUGAGCUCGCGGCCUAUCAGCUUGUUGGUGGGGUAAUGGCCUACCAAGGCGUCGACGGGUAGCCGGCCUGAGAGGGUGGACGGCCACAUUGGGACUGAGAUACGGCCCAGACUCCUACGGGAGGCAGCAGUGGGGAAUAUUGCACAAUGGGCGCAAGCCUGAUGCAGCGACGCCGCGUGGGGGAUGACGGCCUUCGGGUUGUAAACUCCUUUCAGCCAUGACGAAGCCCUUGUGGUGACGGUAGUGGUAGAAGAAGCACCGGCUAACUACGUG
rnacentral:rRNA from 1 species